UACGUAGGUGGCAAGCGUUGUCCGGAAUUACUGGGUGUAAAGGGAGCGUAGGCGGGAAGACAAGUUGGGAGUGAAAUGUAUGGGCUUAACCCAUAAACUGCUUUCAAAACUGUUUUUCUUGAGUGAAGUAGAGGCAGGCGGAAUUCCUAGUGUAGCGGUGAAAUGCGUAAAUAUUAGGAGGAACACCAGUGGCGAAGGCGGCCUGCUGGGCUUUAACUGACGCUGAGGCUCGAAAGCGUGGGUAGCAAACAGG
rnacentral:rRNA from 2 species